rnacentral:tRNA from 1 species
AGGACCGCAUAGCGCAGUGGAUUAGCGCGUUUGACUUCGGAUCAAAAGGUCGUGGGUUCGACUCCCACUGUGGUCGAUUAUAUUUUUAACUCUCUUUUCAUUUUCUACAAAAACAAAUUAUUUAUUGUAAAAAUAAAAUAAAUAAUAUUAAUUAAUUAAGUAUUAGUCAAUAAACAUAAGGACCGCAUAGCGCAGUGGAUUAGCGCGUUUGACUUCGGAUCAAAAGGUCGUGGGUUCGACUCCCACUGUGGUCGA